GGAGCUCAUUUUCACGGAACAGGGAAGAGGGGAUUGGGAGAUGGGAUUGGUGGCACCACACUAUAGAGUCUGCUCCGACCUGAAAGGGAGGAGAGGCAUCCCCAAACACUGGGAACUAAGAGGCACACAGAGAAGCAGACCUGUGGGAAGAAGAUGGAGAAACCAUCUCCAAUGUCAUUGCCAUGUUUCCAGGAGCCAACGCUCACAUUCACCCUCUGGGAUCCCCUUUCCUAGCAUGGAGGAUUCCCGCAGGCUGAAUCAAUGGUGGGGGAAGCUGUGGGAGCUUGAAGAGGAAGAAAGGAAGCAGCUGACCUGCGGAUGGCUGUGACAGGCUAAUCUCCCAGCAGAGAAGAGUUUUGUAACAGCUAAAUCACAGACCAGGCUAGACAAGGCUGGACAUGCACCCUGUCUUAGUCCAUUUUUCCUGGCUAUCACAAAAUAACUGAGGCUGGGUACUCUAUAAAGAAAAGAGGUUUAUUGAGUUCACAGUUUGGGAGGCUGAAAGUUCAAACAGCAAUGACACCAGCUCUGGCAAAAGACCCCUGGACUCAAUCAGAUCCUAGCAGAUGGCAUCACAGCAAGAGGAAAAGAUCACAUGGUGAGAGAAGAAGCCAGAACCCAGGGAGGACCAUUUUUAACAACCUGUUCUCAUGGAACUACUUAAUUCCUUCCAAGGACAGCAGCCCCGAUGAACUAAGCAUCUAGUACUCAGCCCACCUCCAAAGGGUUCCGGACCCACAUUGGUCCAUCUCAACAUGUCACCCUGGGGAUGGAGCUGCCAGUACACGAGCCCUUGGGAAACACAUGGAGAUCAAGUCCAGACAGAGCAUGCUCCAGCUCGAGUCUCUCGUGUCUCAGGUCCAGCUUCUUGGCCUUCCUGGGCACCUCCAAAUAAACUACUUGCACAAGACUCCUUCUCUUGGGGACUGCUUCUAUGUGGACCCAAACCGAGGCAGGCCUCCAUUCUCCUCGGAGACAUUGCUUUGUUCUCAAUCAUCAUUUGCUGCUCUCAUGAUCCUCUCUGAGAGCCAGGGCUGUCCUUCGGUCACGACCUGCACAGGGCCAGUUGAACAUGGUCUUGAAGUAUCUCCGGCCAAAGGACUGCCACCCUCCUACCCCGUCUUACCCUGGACAGAAACAAAAAAAAUAAACGCUUUUGUCUUUGAGCCUCGAGAGCAC
rnacentral:lncRNA from 1 species